AGCCUACGGGGGGCAGCAGUGGGGAAUAUUGCACAAUGGGGGAAACCCUGAUGCAGCAACGCCGCGUGAGUGAAGAAGUAUUUCGGUAUGUAAAGCUCUAUCAGCAGGGAAGAAAAUGACGGUACCUGAGUAAGAAGCCCCGGCUAACUACGUGCCAGCAGCCGCGGUAAUACGUAGGGGGCAAGCGUUAUCCGGAUUUACUGGGUGUAAAGGGAGCGUAGACGGUGAUGCAAGUCUGGAGUGAAAGGCGGGGGCCCAACCCCCGGACUGCUCUGGAAACUGGGUAACUUGAGUGCAGGAGAGGG
rnacentral:rRNA from 1 species